rnacentral:rRNA from 1 species
AACGAACGCUGGCGGCAGGCUUAACACAUGCAAGUCGAACGGCCCGCAAGGGGAGUGGCGCACGGGUGAGUAACGCGUGGAUAUCUGCCUUUUGGUUCGGAAUAACCCCGGGAAACUGGGGCUAAUACCGGAUGGCUCCUACGGGAUAAAGAUUUAUCGCCAAAAGAUGAGUCCGCGUACGAUUAGCUAGUUGGUGAGGUAAUGGCUCACCAAGGCGACGAUCGUUAGCUGGUCUGAGAGGACGAUCAGCCACACUGGGACUGAGACACGGCCCAGACUCCUACGGGAGGCAGCAGUGGGGAAUAUUGGACAAGGGGGGCAACCCUGAUCCAGCCAUGCCGCGUGAGUGAUGAAGGCCUUCGGGUUGUAAAGCUCUUUUGGCGGGGACGAUGAUGACGGUACCCGCAGAAUAAGCCCCGGCUAACUUCGUGCCAGCAGCCGCCGUAACAC